rnacentral:rRNA from 1 species
GACAGAGGGUGCGAACGUUGUUCGGAAUUACUGGGCGUAAAGCGCAUGUAGGCGGCAGCGCAAGUCGGGCGUGAAAUCCCACGGCUCAACCGUGGAAGUGCACUCGAAACUGCGCAGCUAGAGUCCUGGAGAGGAAGGUGGAAUGCUUGGUGUAGAGGUGAAAUUCGUAGAUAUCAAGCGGAACACCGGUGGCGAAGGCGGCCUUCUGGGACAGUGACUGACGCUGAGAGU